GUUCAAAGCCAGCCUCAGCAACUUAGCAAGGCCCUAAGGAACUCAAAAUUAAGUGUAAAAAAGGGCUGGGGAUGUGGCUCAGUGGUUAAGGGCCCCUGGGUUCACCCUGGUACCAAAAAAAGAAAAAAAAAAGUCAUCCUAUCAUUUUUGCCAUAUUCUAUUCAUUAGAGGUAAGUCUCAGGUUCAGGUAACACUCAAGGGAAGGGGAUUCCACCAGGGAUUGUAUAAAAACCUGGAGUCAGGCUCAGUGGCCGAAGGUCCUGGAAGCUGCCUAUCAUGCUGGGGAAGAAGCAGCCCCCUCUUGGAUCCCUACCUUUUCCUUCCAUCACCAGCACUAGCAGCGGACUUUCUUUGGAGAGGUUUUUUUUCAGAAGGUGACAGUUUGGAUCCCUUUAAACAGUGCCAAGGCUCCCAGCAGUGAGCAGCUGUGGGGUUUUAGGCUGCAGCAAGGCACCUCGCUGGAGAUGGACUCUCACGUUAGCCUGGCAGCAAGGACAGUGCAGGUGUUCCCUCCCCAGAACGCCCUUUAAAGUGAUGCGUGGACAGUCAGCACUGAAAUGUCCGGCAUUUGCAGGCCAAGGGUAUCAUUUCUAGGGAUCAGACCCAGGGUCACUGUCACUGAGCCCUUUCUAUUUUAUUUUGAGACAGGGCCUCACUAAGUUGCCCAGGCUGGCCUUGAGCUUUCAAUCCUCCUGCCUCAGCUGCCUGAGUCACUGAGAUUACAGGCGUGCAUUACUGCUCCAGGCUCCGAGAGUCUCUACUGAGGAAUAGUUGACAUAGAAAGAAAUACACAUUUUUAAUGUGCUCAAUCUGAAGAAUUUGGACAUAUGGAAACUAUGACACCACAACCACAAUCAGGGUAACAGACAUAUCCAACAUCUCCCAAUGCUUCCCGUGUCCUUUUUUUUGUGUGUGUGGUAAGGACACUUUAUAAGAGAUCCACACCUAUUGUUAAUGAUAGGUGCUGUGUUGUACAGCAGAUCUCUAGAUCUUAUUCAUCUUGCAUAACUGGGACUUUACACCCAUUGAACUUCUCCCCAUUCCCCCUUCCUGAAGCCCCUGCCAACUGCUAUUGCAAUCUCUGCUUUUUCGAGUUUGA
rnacentral:lncRNA from 1 species